UCUCCCCUCACGGUUCGCCCCACCAGAUCUAACCCUGUCCUCCUCCUUCGCCCUAACCCCAUCCCCUAGUGCCUCCUUCCACCGCCCCUGCCCCUCCUGCGCCGCCGGUGACCAGAAAAGCUCAAGGACCUCGGAAAUCUCCUACUCCGGCGGGAAGUCCUCGGCCAGCUGCCGAGCAGGGCCAGAUCCACCGGAGGAGUCAAGAUGGAUAAUGCUCAACAACAAUAUCUAUAUUACUGUAUGUGGAAGCAAAACACACUACUUGUCCUUUUUGUAAUGUUGGUCCUUUGGUGGAGCAAGAAAAAAGAGAGGAAGAAUGGAGCUAAACGUGUCAAGUAUGCUCCACUUGUGAAGAGAGAUAUUUGGAGGAGUAGUGAACUAAUUAGACUGAUCGACACCUCGGAAAGGACGUGUUUGCGCCAGCUCAGGCGUCGUUUGGAUUAUCGUUUCCAUUACAAAUACCCCCGUAAAACUAAUACAGACCUCAGCCCGUCGUUUUGUUUUUGACCUGGAAAUAGCUCUUGGCCUGUAAGUUACACGUGUAAAUAAAUUACACCCGUAUUCAGUUACAUCCAUACCAAUCGCGGCCUCAGGAUGUAUCCGGCUGUUUUCUACAAGUUGUGUGCUCACCUUAGGGACAAAAAGCUUUUGGCUGACACAAUUCAUGUGUCCGUAGAGGAGCAGGUAGCUAUGUUUUUGAAAAUUGUUGGGCAAUAUCACACUCAUUCCUCUGUAGGAUUUGCAUUGUGGCGAUCCGAAGAGACAGUGAGUAGGUAUUUUAACAUCGUCCUAUGUGCCCUUGUGAAGUUAGCCCGUGAAAUAAUCUGCACUCGGUCUACAGAUACACAUGCUAAGAUCACUACCAACCCAAACAGAUUUUAUCCCUACUUUGAGGGAUGUAUAGGGGCAGUAGAUGGCACCCAUAUUAGGGCACGUGUGCCUUCAAAAUAUGUGGACAGGUUUAGGGGCCGCAAGCCAUAUCCCACACAAAAUGUCCUAGCUGCCGUGGAUUUCGAUCUUAGAUUCACGUAUG